CUGCUGGAAUACCUUCAGGCCAUGAGGAACUACUUCCUCUUGGAGGCAGGAGACACCAUGUAUGACUUCUAUACAGCCAUCUUUGAUAAGGUCCUGGAGAAGGAGAGCUGGCAGCAACUGGCGUUCCUCAACGUUCAACUGCAGGAAGCUGGGGACAGCGGUGUCCAGAGGACAGCAGCAGGUUGUCCAUCUUUCUGGAGACUAUAGACCCAGUCAGAAAGAAACAGCCAAUUAAUAAUCUGGAUGGUUUGACCCUCAGUUACAAGGUGCCCUGGCCUGUUGACAUUGUGGUCAGCUCAGAGUGUCAGAGGAUCUACAACCAGGUGUUCCUGCUGCUGCUGCAGAUCAAAUGGGCCAAAUACAGUCUGGACACGCUGGCAUUCAGUG